UACGAAGGGGCCUAGCGUUGUUCGGAAUCACUGGGCGUAAAGCGCACGUAGGCGGAUUUGUAAGUCAGGGGUGAAAUCCCGGGGCUCAACCUCGGAACUGCCUUUGAUACUGCGAGUCUUGAGUCCGAUAGAGGUGGGUGGAAUUCCUAGUGUAGAGGUGAAAUUCGUAGAUAUUAGGAAGAACACCGGUGGCGAAGGCGGCCCACUGGUCCGGUACUGACGCUGAGGUGCGAAAGCGUGGGGAGCAAACAGG
rnacentral:rRNA from 1 species